CAGUGGCAUUGGGUCCCAUCAGAUGGGAGUUGACUAUGGCAAGAAAAGGUUUUAUACCAGAGAAAAUGGACAUCAAAAUGAAUAUUGGCUGGAGCUUAGUUGUUUUAUCAGCAGGCAUGUACUGAGAUUUUUUUGGACCAUGCAGAGAUCAGCAUGACAAAUAUGGAAAUAUGUUUAGAAGAAUUACACAUGUUUAACCUAUAUUGGAUUACUUGCUAUCUUGAGGAGGGAAGAGCAGAGGAGAGAGGGAGAAAAAAUUGGAACACAGAGUUUUGCCGAGAUGAAUGUUGAAAACCAUCUUUUUUAUAUAUUUGGAAAAAUAAAAUGUUAUUAAAAAGAA